GCCGGGCACGGUGGCGCACACCUGUAGUCCCAGCUACUCUGGAGGCUGAGACAGGAAGAUUACUUGAGUCCAGGAGUUCUGGGCUGUAGUGCUGAUCAGGUGUCCUCACUAAGUUCGGCAUCAAUAUGGUGACAUCCCGGGGACAGGGCACCACCAGGUUGCCUAAGGAGGGGUGAACCGGUUCAGGUCAGAAACAGAGCAGGUAAAAAUUCCCCGGGCUGAUCAGUAGUGGGAUCGCGCCUGUGAAUAGCCACUGCACUCCAGCCUGGGCAACACAGCGAGAACCCGUCUCU
rnacentral:SRP_RNA from 1 species